rnacentral:rRNA from 1 species
GGGUCAGUAGGUUGGUCGUGCCACCGGUACGUACUGGUCUCACUGAUUCCUCCUUCCUGAAGAACCGUAAUGCCAUUAAUUUGGUGUGGCGGGGAAACAGGACUGUUACUUUGAAAAAAUUAGAGUGUUUAAAGCAAGCUAACGCUUGAAUACAUUAGCAUGGAAUAAUGAAAUAGGACGAUCGAUCCUCUUUUGUUGGUUUCUAGGAUUGACGCA